ensembl:lncRNA
UGGACGAAUGUGCCUUGUAAAUGAUGCAUGCAACGCCGCACAUUUAUGUUGAUGAAUGUACUCUUUUGUUAUUGUUUUUUUUGUCCCUUACAUUUUUUUUUAUUUAUUUUUUUUUGGACGUCACUUUUUGUUGCAUCGUCACACAGGAUCCCAGUCCAAAUGCUCACCUCUAGUCUCCACCAACAGGUCGGCUGCUAUUCAUACCUGUGUUUAUAUCUGUAUCAUUAUCACUGGGCUCCUGAGAGGCACAACAAAAAACAACCACGUUUGCUUAAGUAGAGCAUGACUGGUGAAGAAGUAUGUUAUCAGAACACCGGGAGUUCAAAUCCUGACGAUGCCACGGCCAUCCGUGGCCAGGAGCCAAGAGAGCAAAAUUGGAUUUUUGAACGAUCUGAAAUACUCUCGUCUCACUACGGCGACAAUGUGAAAGCGCUACCGAUCUCCGUCGUUAUUGGUCGACCGCUGCAGACGUGGACCUCACCUUCCUGUUUCGAUAAGCAACUUUUCUAGACUUUUUUGGAACGCUUGUUCGGAAGGAUGCAUAAAUCCUUAAACUCAUGGGCAUCCCAGGUUUCAAAUCCCAACAAAAUUGGCCUCGCUGACUGAGCGGGAGAGACGUUAUGCACGCUCUCCUCUGUCCGUCACGGCUACACUAGCCAAUCGUGGGUGCCUGUGAGCUCACAGAUACGGAAGAGAGCAGGUAGAACCUUCACCGUGACUCAGGAGGGAUUCAGUUUGAUUAUGAUUCUUUGAAGAUGAAGAUUUCACCACAAUUCGAGUUUCUUGGUACGAUUCCGCAGUAUUUCCCGAACUAACUACAGCGAGCUUGGUUCGUAGUGAACGGUGUUUUUAGCAGCUGAUGUCCAGACACGCCUACUGUUGGACAAACUCUGCUCUGUGACACAGCGGCUGUAAGCCCGUUCACUCAGCGAGUUUUAUCACCGCUGUAGACCUUUGAUCAAGAGUGUGUUUAAUAGGAAGCUUAACAUGCUGUAACGUAUUGAAAACACAUGGCGGAAGCAGGGGGUGGUUAGGAAGAGGCCACUCUGAUUUAAACACUGCCCGUCUUGAUUUAGGUCUGACUGUCUACACCAAUACUUUGUGAUGUACUUAACUAGCCAUCUGGGAGCACAGGCAUGCACCGGGUCAGGACUCUCUCCAUCUUUUCACCUCACCAUGGGGGAAAAAACUGUUUUCCCUCCCAUUUUCCCCCAUUUUGCCCUUUUCUCGACACCCUUUUCCACCUGAACAUGCACAAACACACCAUCUUGAUCCCCUUCCAUAUGCCACUUCCUUUCUUUGAUGGACUGAAAGGCAGCUUUGAAAAGCAGACACACCUUUCUCCUUUAUGUGCGUUAGUAAAUACAGGAUGGCCUUUGUUCAAGUGAACGAACAGACAAAGCGUUUACUUUCAACACUGAUCAGGAGUCAGCUCUGUCCGCCAAAAGACCUUCAUUUCAGCUGGAUAUCUGAUCAGCCAGUAGAGACCACGUUCUCCGCCUCGCUCACCUGAGAGAAAAUGUCUACAGCUAUGUUUGAUGUCCUUUGUGUUGGUGUUCUUCUCUUAAAGGAAAGCCAACUUUUUUCUU